AGUGAACGCUGGCGGUAGGCCUAACACAUGCAAGUCGAACGGCAGCACAGUAAGAGCUUGCUCUUACGGGUGGCGAGUGGCGGACGGGUGAGGAAUACAUCGGAAUCUACUUUUUCGUGGGGGCUAACGUAGGGAAACUUACGCUAAUACCGCAUACGACCUACGGGUGAAAGCAGGGGAUCUUCGGACCUUGCGCGAUUGAAUGAGCCGAUGUCGGAUUAGCUAGUUGGCGGGGUAAAGGCCCACCAAGGCGACGAUCCGUAGCUGGUCUGAGAGGAUGAUCAGCCACACUGGAACUGAGACACGGUCCAGACUCCUACGGGAGGCAGCAGUGGGGAAUAUUGGACAAUGGGCGCAAGCCUGAUCCAGCCACACCGCGUGGGUGAAGAAGGCCUUCGGGUGGUAAAGCCCUUUUGUUGGGAAAGAAAAGCAGCAGGUUAAUACCCCGCUGUUCUGACGGUACCCAAAGAAUAGGCACCGGCUAACUUCGUG
rnacentral:rRNA from 1 species